rnacentral:lncRNA from 1 species
AAAAAAAAAAAAAAUCAGCCAGGCGUGGUGGCAAGCACCUGCGGUCCCAGCUACUCUGGAGGCUGAGGUGGGAGGAGGAUUGCUUGAGCCUGGGAGGUCGAGGCUUCAGUGAGCCGUGAGUGGGGCACUGCACUCCAGUUUGGGCAACAGAGUGAGACCUCGUCUCCAAAAGAACAAAAAAUUUAACGUAUUUAAAGCACUCAGAACAGCACCUGACACAUGGUAACCACAGUAACCAGGUAUUUCCCAAUGAAGACCAAGGCACGGAGACGUCAAACAAAUUAUCAUUGCAAAGUUGCACAGCCAGGGUGCAGAGGUGGAGGCUGGAAACUAACAUUUGUAAGGUUCUUACUACAAAUGCAUCAUCUCAUUUCUUCCACUGAAUAACUACAGGCCUCAUGAUGAUCUGUGGUGGAGUCGUUGGCAGAGGAUGGCUGGAUGUACAUCAGACCCAUUUCU